rnacentral:lncRNA from 1 species
CCGAAUGAAAAAGUUAUGCUUAUUUUAGUAUAGCAGGGUUAAAAUCAGCAAGAUCAAACACAAUCAGCUUGAUUUCUUAUAUUUUUUAGCCCAAUCCAUCAAGCCAAGAUAUUUACCAGCUAAAGUAUCUACGUCAUAAUGUAGGUUAGUAGGCCAAAUGGUUGUAUCUUGGUUGUAAAAGAUGCACGAUGAAAGAUCGAGAGAAUCACAUUGAUUCCAAAUUCCCAAAAACAAAGAAUUACAUUGAAGGAGAAA